CCUGCCAGUGAAUAUUAAACGGCCGCGGUACCCUAACCGUGCAAAGGUAGCAUAAUCAUUUGUCUAUUAAUUGUAGACCUGUAUGAAAGGCAAAAUGAGAGCCCAACUGUCUCUUAUAACAAAUCAAUAAAACUGAUCUUCUAGUACAAAAGCUAAAAUACUGACAUAAGACCAGAAGACCCUGUGAAGCUUUAACAAACCCAUUAAAUCUAAUAAUGAUUACUUUCGGUUGGGGCGACCUUGGAAUAAAAAAGAACUUCCAAUAUAUGACUACUCAUAAAAGAGGCAAACAAGCCUACAUUAGAUCCAGCAUAGCUGAUAAUUGAAAUAAGUUACUCCAGGGAUAACAGCGCUAUCUUCUUUAAGAGCCCAUAUCAAAAAGAAGGUUUACGACCUCGAUGUUGGAUCAGGACAUCCCAGUAAUGCAUCCGUUACUAAAGGUUCGUUUGUUCAACGAUUAACAGUCCUACGUGAUCUGAG
rnacentral:rRNA from 1 species